rnacentral:misc_RNA from 1 species
GAUGGUAAAUGGGAUGACCAAGGGACUGGGCAUGUUACUGUUGACUAUUUGGAGAGAUCAGAAGAGCUGGGCUUGUUUGUUAUUGAUGAAGAAGACAAUGAAACAUUGCUUCUGCAUCGUAUCAUACCAGAUGACAUUUACAGAAAACAAGAAGAUACAAUAAUCUCAUGGAGAGAUCCAGAAUAUUCUACAGAAUUAGCACUGAGCUUUCAGGAGACAACAGGGUGUUCUUAUAUAUGGGACCAUAUCUGUAAUGUGCAAAGAAGUCUUCAGUUUAGUACUCUUAACAAUGAGACAUUUCACAGCAUGAACAGCG